CCUACGGGAGGCAGCAGUGGGGAAUAUUGCUCAAUGGGCGAAAGCCUGACCCAGCGACGCCGCGUGAGGGAUGAAGGUUUUCGGAUCGUAAACCUCUUUCAGAAGGGAAGAAGUUGCAUGGGGCCAAUCACCUGUGCAUUGACGUUACCUUCAAAGGAAGCACCGGCUAACUCCGUGCCAGCAGCCGCGGGAAUACGGAGGGUGCGAGCGUGAAUCGGAAUUGCUGGGCGGAAAGGGCGCGUAGGCGGUAUGUCAAGUCAAGGGUGAAAUGCCACGGCUCAACCGUGGAACUGCCUUUGAAACUGGCAAACUGGAGUAUGUGAGAGGGAGGCGGAAUGCGUGGUGUAGGGGUGAAAUGCGUAGAUAUCAGGAGGAACAUCAGUGGCGAAGGCGGCCGACUGGCACAAAACUGACGCUGAGGUGCGAAAGCGUGGGUAGCAAACAGGAUUAGAUACCCGAGUAGUC
rnacentral:rRNA from 1 species